GUAAGGAAUAUUGGGCAAUGGAGGCAACUCUGACCCAGCCAUGCCGCGUGAAGGAUGACGGCCCUCGUGGUUGUAAACUUCUUUUGUACGGGAAUAACCCUCCGAACGUGUUCGGAGCUGAAGGUACCGUAAGAAUAAGGAUCGGCUAACUCCGUGCCAGCAGCCGCGGUAAUACGGAGGAUCCAAGCGUUAUCCGGAUUUACUGGGUUUAAAGGGUGCGUAGGCGGAUUGAUAAGUCAGUGGUGAAAGCCUACAGCUUAACUGUAGAACUGCCAUUGAUACUGCCAGUCUGGAGUAUGGUUGAGGUAGCUGGAAUGUGUCAUGUAGCGGUGAAAUGCUUAGAGAUGACACAGAACACCAACGGCGAAGGCAGGUUACCAACCCAUUACUGACGCUGAGGCACGAAAGCGUGGGGAUCAAACAGGAUUAGAAACCCUUGUAGUCC
rnacentral:rRNA from 1 species